AUUAAAGCUGUUGCGGUUAAAAAGCUCGUAGUUGGAUUUCGAGGCAUGCGCGAUUCGGUCGACGUAUAGUCGUUUGUACCAGUUGCGCGGUCCCUUUCUUCUGGAUGCUCGUUGCUUCCCUUGAUUGGGCGGCGAUCAAGGGGUAUGUUCAUGGGGGCAACUCUGUGGAUGUAUUCCGGAGUUCCAGAUCAUUUACUUUGAAAAAAUCAGAGUGUUCCAAGCAGGCGAAAACGCUUGAAUACUUGAGCAUGGGAUAAUGUCAUAGGACUCUGUUUCCUGUCUCGUUGGUUUCCUGGAACGGAGCAAUGAUUAAUAGGGAUAGUUGGGGUGAUUUGUAUUUAAUUGUCAGAGGUGAAAUUCUUCGAUUUCUGAAAGACAGACUUCUGCGAAAGCAUUUCACAAGGAUGUUUUCAUUAAUCAAGAACGAAAGUUGGGGGAUCGAAGACGAUUAGAUACCGUCGUAGUCUCAACCAUAAACUAUGCCGACCAGGGAUCGGAAGACGUUUUUCUUUGACUCCUCCGGCACCUUGUGGGAAACCAUAAGUGUUUGGGCUUCGGGGGGAGUAUGGUCGCAAGGCUGAAACUUAAAGGAAUUGACGGAAGGGCACCACAAGGAGUGGAGCCUGCGGCUUAAUUUGACUCAACACGGGAAAACUUACCAGGUCCGGACAGCAGAAGGAUUGACAGAUUGAGAGCUCUUUCUUGAUUUGCUGGGUGGUGGUGCAUGGCCGUUCUUAGCUGGUGGAGUGAUUUGUCUGCUUAAUUGCGAUAACGAGCGAGACCUUCUCCUACUCAAUAGUGACGCGAGCUUCCUCGUCGUUCUGCGGCGACUGGCUCUGCGCGCACUUCUUAGAGGGACUAUUGGUUUCUAGCCAAUGGAAGUUGGAGGCAAUAACAGGUCCGUGAUGCCCUUCGAUGUUCUGGGCUGCACGCGCGCUACACUGAUGAACUCAACGAGUUUUUCGCCUUGGCCGAGAGGUCUGGGUAAUUUUCUGAAAGUUCAUCGUGCUGGGGAUAGAUCAUUGCAAUUAUUGGUCUUCAAUGAGGAAUUCCUAGUAAGCGUGAGUCAUCAGCUCGCGUUGAUUACGUCCCUGCCCUUUGUACACACCGCCCGUCGCUCCUACCGAUUGGGUGAUCCGGUGAAGACGUCGGAUGGUUGACGAUGCCUCUUGGGGGAAACUCUGAUUGGUUGUUAGUCAGAAAUCGUCUGAACCUUAUCACUUAGAGGAAGGAGAAGUCGUAACAAGGU
rnacentral:rRNA from 1 species